UUGGUUUUAUUUAUAAAUCCAAUUAUUUAAGAAAAUUGAGUAAGAAUAUUGUUGGUGUUCUUAACUCAAGAGAAAUAUUUUCAAGUAUUUAUUUAUUAAAUUUUGAAAACCCGGCUAAGUGAAUCAUAGAAUGUUAAGCACUACACCAUGACUUAAGAUUAGAUACAAGGAGACCUAUUGAGAAUAGAUUUCUUGUAGGCUUCGAGCAUCAGAAGGAUUAGCACUGCUAUUCCGAUUCAGAGAUAAGGUUAAACGACAGGCUUUGCCUAUACAGGCUUCGAGCAUCAGAAGGAUUAGCACUGCUAUUCCGAUUCAGAGAUAAGGUUAAACGACAGGCUUUGCCUAUACAGGUUGAGCAGUUGAUGGAAUGGAAUGAUGUUGAGCGGGUGUUCCUUUGACAUUUCAAGAAAUGUAACCUUGAGUAUACAUCUUCAUAUGUAUAUCUCACACGUUUUCCGCUGCAAAACACUUUGAUUAGGAUAGCUCUAUGUUAUGAAGUUGUUAUACGUGUUAUUGGGUAACCCACCUUAAUCAGUUCUCAUUUAUGUGUAUGUUUUAUAAGUAUCCAAAUAAUCAUAUAUAAUCCUAGCAUUUUAUCUAUGAGUGACAUUUCCAUAUACUUUAAUGUUAAGUAAUUGUCCAUUUCCA